rnacentral:lncRNA from 1 species
AGCUGACUUAAUAAUUUGGUGCCCCUUCAAGCUGUUAUUCUUAAAACAUUUUUUCAACUUUUAUUUAAAUAGAAGAUUGAAAUGAUGUUCUUUUAAUAAAAAAAAUUAAAGGAACAGAUUUACUUCUUUCCAUUUAACGAAGCAGAAUCUAAACACUAAAAAAAAAAAUCAGCAAGAUAUAAUACUUUUCUAAAAUUCUAGUUCUCUUUUACAAUAUUCCAACCAAACCAGCUCGGAAAUUAUAAAGGGUUUUAAACUUAGGUAAUAAAAAUAAAUCACCCAUUCCUGAUAUGCAGCAUUCUGUGAGGGAUUAUUUUCAGAGUUUCAGCUGACGGACAACUUUUAACUGACUGGAACUGUACUUAACGUGUGGCAAACAUACACCACAGAGAUGAGUUGUUUACUGUAGCAAGUUAUUUUGCUUCGCUCCAACUGUCCUUUUGGCAGGAGCACACCCAACCUAAUUUUGUCCGUUACAUAAGGAGCCACAUGUGGAAACCUGAAUCAGCUGACAUCCUAUUACUGACUUAAUCCAGCCAUAAUUCAGUGCGCAGUGACCUGAUGGGCCCAUGUCUUACUCUCAUUCUGGAAAGCUCUCUGGCAUAGAGGUCAGGGGACAGCCUCUGGGAUCAGACACCGUAGGUUUGAAUCAUGUCCACCACUUAUCAGCGGUGUGAUUUUGGACAAGUUCAACCAACCUUUCCAAGCCUCAGUUUCCACAUCGAGAACAUGGAAAUAUGAGUUGGCGACUUCCUCAUGACGCUGCAUGAGAAUUGAAUGAAACGAUGCACACAUAAUUCUCAGUGCAGCAUUUGAGGACCCGAAUUGUCAGCCGUGCCCUUGGCUGAGCAGCGAGGCUGAGGCCGGGCCGCAGAGCUCCCCGCCGCUUCCCCCCGCCGCGCGAAGAGGAGCCACGCCGCCGGUCUGCGCAGAGGGAAUUCGUGUUGAAGGGACCUGGGAGCUGGAAGAAGAUGCUGGAAAGGCAACCGCAGAGUGCCAUCUAGCGCCCACCACGUCUUCACCGGCCGCAUGUGAAGGAGAGUUAUUCCAGAAUAUUUCACCUAAUGAAAAGCGAACUCCUAUUUCAUGA